rnacentral:lncRNA from 1 species
CUCGACACUCAAGUUUAAUUUUCUCCAUUUACACAUAAUUGUCUUUCCCAAUCACUGUCUUUGGGAUUAAUUCAACCGUUUGGCUUGGGAUUGUUUUUAAUUGCAAGAACCAUCAGUGUCUGGGCUAGAAACCCCCCCUUCAAUCCACCCACUCUGUUCCCAUUUCAGAUCCCAGGAAACAUUAACUCCUGCUUCUCCAUGGCCCCAAAAAACCCCACAUGGGCGGGCCCUGAACUUCCGGCGUUCUAUGGACAGAGAUUUUCACAUCCUGAUACACUGAAAAGGGCACCUGAAACUUCUGUGGGAUCUUUCCAGCAAGGAGGUCAGUCUCCACUUUCUGCAGCUCUCCAAGCACAUGCAAAUACCAUGCAGAAAGCACAGGCUUGGAGCACAGCACAGAAGAGGUGCUGCAGCUCCGAGCAGAAUCACAAAAAAGCCCUUACUCUGUGUGGGAAGACUUAAGGGAAUAUUUCAGCACAUCAGGAGCUGAAUCACUGCAUGUGGGUGGAGCCAGACGGAUUGACAAGAUCUGGAACUUGAAAGAUGACCUCAGCCUGAGAUCAAUCAUCCCACAAAGUCGCUGACUGAGGGAACAGCAUAUGGGGACAGCUCAAGGUGUCGAGGCUCAAUGUCACCGUGCUGGGCCACAACUGCAGUAGAGGCACAAGCUCCAGCCGAGGUCACCCAAAGCCUGGCCCACCCUGAUGCCUCAGGCCCAGCAGCCUUUUGUUACUCUUGGCACCUUCAGAGCCUCCCUCCCUCCAGCACGACAUGAAAGAGGCACCUUGGGGGAAGCCAUUAGCAAAGGGCUCUUUUUCAUGCAUUAGAUGAAUGAAGAAUUGAGCUGUCAGGUAAUGACUUUGGAGUUGUGGAGAAGCCAACUUGAUGGAAAGCUAAGAAUUAAUUGCGGAUCACACAAAAGCAUGAAAAAAUAAAAGCAGGUACACCACGCUUUCA